UUCAGAGUGGUAAUUUCAUUUCUUGAGGUAGAGCUUUCCUCUAGAAGUUUCUCAGAUUCAUAUCUCAGAAGUUCAACUUUGGCUGUGUCUCACUGGACACAAUUUGCAGGGCAUGUAUCAUUGUCUUCAACUCUCCUUUCCCCUCUUGAAAAGGCAUAUCUUUUGGCUCAGCUAGGAUAUUAACUUUUUCAGCUUUUUAGUAAGCUCUUGUGACUUUUUUUCCAGUUCUAACUCUGCUGUUACUGCCUGCUGCUGAAAUGACUCUCUUUAAGACCUAGAAAAGCAAUGUUUUCCUCUAGUAUAACUUGAUGUUGUACUCUUAGCUUUUCUUUUCUUUUUUUUUCUUUGAGACAGGGUCUUGCUGUGUUGCCCAAGUUGGAGUGCAGUGGCACAAUCGCAGUUCACCAAAGCCUCAACCUCUCAGGCUCAAAUGAUCCUCCAACCUCAGCCUCCCAAGUAGCUGGGACUACAGGCAAUGCCACAUGCCCAGCUUACUUUUUUAUUUUUUGUAGAGCUGGGAUAUCUCUAUGUUGCCCAGACUAGUCUCAAAAUCCCGGCCUCAAAUGAUCCUCCCACCUUGGCCUCCCAAAGUACUGGGGUUACAGGCAUGAGCCAUUGCACCCAACCAGCUUUUCUUCAUGUGUCUGAAUUGUUUCAUAUAACCAGGAAAUUUCACAAGCUUUUACUUUUUCUAAGAGCCAUAUAUUCCCCUGCUAAAUGGUCGUGUGCACCUGUAAUCUCAGCUACUCAGGAGACUGAGGCAGGAGAAUCGUUUGAACCUGGGAGGCAGAGGUUGCGGUGAGCCGAGAUCAUGCCCCUGCACUCCAGUCUGGGCAACAGAACAAGACUCCAUCUCAGAAAAAACAACAACAACUUUGUUACUUGUUAAAUUUUUGUGGACGUAGAAACUCAGAAUAACACUGACCCAACACUUUGAGAUGACAGCAAAAAACUACUCAACAGACAAAAUUGAACUCCAUAAUGGAGUCCAAGCAGACUUAGCCUGAGAGCCGGUCCCUUCCAACCUCCCUUUUGUGCAAAGGUGUUUAAAAGAGUUUUGACAAUGACUCCUACUUGCCAUUCACUUUCUCCAUCGUGGGAUGAGACCAGCAACCUGGGACAAGUCUAUCCCAGCACCAAGGGACACCAAAACCCAACUACAGGGUGAUUGACUAGUGAUACUUUUGGAGAAAUAUCUUGAUCAAAAGGGGGAAUGUUUUGCUUGUGGGAACUAACAAUAAAGUAUAAUAAAGAUACAAAAAAGGAAAAAAACAAAAGAGGGAAUGUGAAAGCAGAAUCAAAAUGGAGUCACUUGUGUUAAAAAGUAAAAAAAUAAAGCCUAAAAAUAGAGUGAGGGUAGGCUGUGAAGAGAGGGUUCUCACUUAUAUGUCUGAUAACAAAAGCUGUCACAAAAGACUACAAAAAACACAGCCUUGCACAAAGGCCAUUUUAGCCUUACACGCUAAAUGUUCUGUGCAGACAUCCACCCAGCAACUGCCUGUCCAACCUCACCCUUGUUAUUGGCCUCACCCUUGUUAUUGAUCUUUGUAGCCAAGGAUAAUAAUUUCAAAAUCAUUAUGUAAUCCUCCUUAUCUCUCCUUUAAAACCUUUUGUCUUCAUUUUUACCUCCCUGGGUACACACACACAGUUUACUGUGGCAUGCAUAUUCCCAUUGCAAUGCCCUAUUCCCAAAUAAAUGUAUGUUUUUUCUUUUUGAGAGCCUCCCUCUGUUCUUUAGAAUGACAAACUCAACAAAAAAAAUCAAACAUGUUCCUCUGUGCUGUGUUAUAUUCAUAACUUUGGGCUUUCAUUCAUCAUAUGUCUUGGUCUAUCAUCUUUUUUUUAGGUGCCAGGAUCUAUUUUUGUCAUCACCAGCCAGGAAGGAUACAAGGCCUCUUCCAAGAUGAAGACGAAACUAUUGACAGAUAUUUUGUCAAGACCAAAUUUUCCCUAAGAGCCCUGUCAUAGAUUGUUCCCUGGGCAGGAUGCAGCCUCCUUCAGAGAGUGAAGAACACACCAAAAGAUCCUCUACUAAAUUCAUCAUAAGCCACAUGAGGCAGGCUGGAAUACAGUUACCAAUCUGCUUUAAUUCUCCCACUUAGAUGGCCUGAAGCCGCCUGAACUGAAAGUUGGAUGAAGCUCAGCUUUGAGUUUCAUCGCGGGGCAUCGUGUGGCCUAAGUCCUUAGCCAAUGCCUGCCAAAUAUUAGCUUGAGUCGCAAUAAAGAGAAAAGGUCCAAAUUCUCCCCUUGACUAAUGAUUUAUUCAUCAAAUCAACAUGUCUCAAACCUUUAAUUCUAGUUUUGUUUUCUGAAAAGAUGUCAUUCUAUUUGAAAGAGAAACAGCUGUAGGGAAGGAGAAUAAGAACUUUCAUGGAACACACAGUAUGUGUCACGCACUCAGCAUGUAAAGUCACUUGGCCCUUACUACAGCCCUGGGGAGGUGAGCAGUGGCUCUGCUUCACAUACAAGCACCCUGACACUCCAGGAAAUCGGUCGUCACCCAGCACCCUCUAACUAGGGAAGGAUGAAAUCCGAUUUGAACUCAGGUAUGCUUUUUUUCUCCAGGAAGCAUACUUUUCUUUGCCAUUCUCAGUGAUGAGAGUAACAGGGACAGAAAGAUAAGAGAAAAGGAAUUGACUGCUCACUUACAAGGCUGUUGCUGGACUUUUUAGGACAGUCACUGGAAGAUUCUCGUGUGUCUUCUGAAUUGCUGACCAUAAUUCAUUCUCUUCCCUCUUUUGUCUGGUUUGUUAUUUGAUCCCAAGACUGUGCUAUAAGUUUUGAGUUGAUAAAAGAGAGCCAAGAGUCCAUGAAGUGCUCACACCUCCCAUCGAAUACCUGAUUCCUACAACGCCUGCUUCAAACAUAAUGGAGAAAAUAUUUGCAAGAAACUUGCAUGCAAUGAUUCAACUGCAUUCCAAAUAUAAUUUUCCUCUUGUGCCAGAGGAGAUUAAUUCACAUGGACUCAAAAGAGCCUUGGGGACAGGUUUUUGGAAAACCAGACCCUGGCAUUCUGGAUGCUAAAAUGCUGUCAGUAAUACUAAGAGUGCUUAGGUCUCCUGCCUCCUCAGUCCUCUGGAAAGAGCCCCAGGGUUAUUCGAGUUGGGAUCAAAUAAAGGGGGUCAUUAUGAUAAAAAGUGGGUGACACCCCCAUUCCUCACCUAGAGAACAUACUUAGCCUUCCCAUACACCUUCUUCAGUAAAAAUCUCCCUACAACUUAGAUUUCAAUGUGAAGAUUUUGGUUCCACCUUGACUGAAUACUGGAAUAGUUUUUGUUGCAGACUGGGAGCCAACAGUUUACCUUCAGAGUGAGAAUAUGUACGGGUUCCUUAAAAACAUGCAGUAUGGCCAGGCACCAUGGCUCAUGCCUGUAAUCCCAGGACUUUGAGAGGCCAAGGUGGGCGGAUCACUUGAGGUCAGAAGCUUGAGACCAGACUGGCCAACAUGGUGAAACCUGGUUUCUAUUAAAAAUACAAAAAUUAGCCUGGCGCAGUGGCGGGUGCCUGUAAUCCCAGCUACUCGGGGGGCUGAGGCAGGAGAAUAACUUGAACCUGGGAGGCAGAGGUUGCAGUGAGCUGAGAUCGAGCCACUGCAUUCCAGCCUGGGCAACAGAGCAAGACUCCGUCUCAAAAAAAAAAAAAUAACAACAUACAAAAAUGCCUUUGGGAUUCAGCGUAAUCUGCAGGUUAUAAAAGCAACUGCAAUGAUGAUGGGAGCUUUUUUCACCACAGCCUAGGAUGCCUUUGAGAAAACAUGAUAAUUUGAAAACAUGAUAAAGACUUCCCCCUGGAUUCAGCCCCUCUACUCUGUCAACAUUGCUCUCACCAGGGUACCCAGUGACCUCCAAGUUGCCCACUGUGGGAGCACUCCUGAGUCCUCAUCUUACUGGAACGCUCCUCACGACCAUCAGGGAAUCUUCUGCUGCCCCUGAAAGGAAGCCCAACUCGAAUUGCUGCAAACAGAACUGACUCAAGUCUUCCCUACUUUGGUGAAUGUUUGAAGCCUAGAGAAACAUAUUCCAUCAAGAAAGAAGAAUAAUUAAUAGAACAUGUUUGUAUACUCUAUAAAUUUUAUACAAAUUACAACAUUUCAGUUACCAUCAUUAUAAAUUUGAUAUACUGUUUAAUUUAUACCAUGUUAUCUUUAAUGUUUCUAUAUAUUUGGUGUAAUCUGUGCCAUAUUACUCUAAUUAGCUUAUUAAAAUGUAGUAGACUAUAGCUCUCUAUUAUAUUAGGAGAAUGCUACAUGUGUAACUAAAGAGAAUCUUAAUAUGUACAGGAGUAUUCAUUAGAUAUGUAGAUAAUUUUUAUAUAUUAAUGAUACCUGCAAAUUUGUCUAAAUAAUACAGUAACUGUGACAAUAAGUAGUUUUUUUCAAGGGUUUAGAAAGUUAAAUAAUCAGACAAUGCAACAAUUUUUCCAGAAUGAUAUUAGAAAACUCCUCUGAGGUCAGCUAACAUGACAUCAAAAUUCAGUGUGCAUAACAGUUUGUUACUGAAAUACUUUGUCAGAAAAGCCUUUUCAUUAAAAAAAAAAAAAAUUGACUGAUUGAUUUCUUUUUACAGACGGGGUAUCGCUAUAUUGCCCAGGCCGGAUUUGGACGCCUGGGCUCAAGAGAUCCUCAUGCCUCAACCUCUGAGUAACUGGGACUAGAGAAGCGAACCACUGAACCUGGAAAGCCUUUUUUUUUUUUUUUUU